rnacentral:rRNA from 1 species
AACGAACGCUGGCGGCAUGCCUAACACAUGCAAGUCGAACGAGACCUUCGGGUCUAGUGGCGCACGGGUGCGUAACGCGUGGGAACCUGCCUUUAGGUUCGGAAUAACUCAGAGAAAUUUGAGCUAAUACCGGAUGAUGUCUUCGGACCAAAGAUUUAUCGCCUUUAGAUGGGCCCGCGUUGGAUUAGCUAGUUGGUGGGGUAAAGGCCUACCAAGGCGACGAUCCAUAGCUGGUCUGAGAGGAUGAUCAGCCACACUGGGACUGAGACACGGCCCAGACUCCUACGGGAGGCAGCAGUGGGGAAUAUUGGACAAUGGGCGAAAUCCUGAUCCAGCAAUGCCGCGUGAGUGAUGAAGGCCUUAGGGUUGUAAAGCUCUUUUACCCGAGAUGAUAAUGACAGUAUCGGGAGAAUAAGCUCCGGCUAACUCCGUG